GUGGGGAAUAUUGGGCAAUGGGCGAAAGCCUGACCCAGCAACGCCGCGUGAAGGAAGAAGGUCUUCGGAUCGUAAACUUCUAUCCUUGGUGAAGAUAAUGACGGUAGCCGAGAAGGAAGCCCCGGCUAACUACGUGCCAGCAGCCGCGGUAAUACGUAGGGGGCAAGCGUUGUCCGGAAUGAUUGGGCGUAAAGGGCGCGUAGGCGGCCUGGUAAGUCUGGAGUGAAAGUCCUGCUUUUAAGGUGGGAAUUGCUUUGGAUACUGUCGGGCUUGAGUGCAGGAGAGGUAAGUGGAAUUCCCGGUGUAGCGGUGAAAUGCGUAGAGAUCGGGAGGAACACCAGUGGCGAAGGCGACUUACUGGACUGUAACUGACGCUGAGGCGCGAAAGUGUGGGGAACAAACAGGAUUAGAAACCCGGGUAGUCC
rnacentral:rRNA from 1 species